AUUAGAGCCAAGCAUAUCAGGAUAACUUACAUAAUCAUGUAAUCCCAUAGACAGACAAGCGUUUACACCAUUGUUCUGUAGAUUUUGUCCCAUGCCUUGAAAUGAAAUCGGCUGUCCGCCUACAGAGGGAUGAUCAAGAGCUGACCCAACAAAGAGAUCACCAUAAGAAGCCGGAAACGAAGGUUGGCCGUUAUGAUGAGAGACACUGAGGCGAGAAAAUAAAGAUUCAAUGAUAUCAUGGCAAGAGUUUUGUGAGGAAGUUUGAGGCCGCAGAUGGCGUUGAUUAAGGUGGCGAACGGAAGCCUCAAAAGGUGCCGAUUGGAAUUGGUAACGGUUGUUUCUCUGCUCCAUGUUUCAAUGUUGAAAGAAUGGGAGAAAGAA
rnacentral:misc_RNA from 1 species